UUCACUUCCAAAUUCUCCGAUCGACGACUCCAUCGUUAAUCGAAUCGCUGCCGGAGACGCCGUUCAAAGGCCUGUGUCCGCCAUUAAAGAGCUUGUCGAAAACAGCCUCGACGCCCAAUCCACCUCCGUCAAUGUCGUUGUCCAAGACGGCGGCCUCAAACUGGCCAUGGCAUCCGUGUCUGUUUCUUUCUUAGGUCGAAUUUAAGGUUGCAUCGUUCCAGAAACUUUACGAGAUCUUUUAGAGAUACUGAGGUUUGUAACAACCCAAGUUUACCACUAGCAGCUAUGACUCGUCUUUUUCGUGGUUUUCGCCUUUGAUGUUCUUUGGCAAACAUGGGUUCAUAUAAAGACUUAGAAAGUUAGUUGCCUCGCUAGCUAACCUUCUCUUGCCUGGCUAGCUUUGCUACUGAUAGAACAGUGUUGCUAUAGUUUGUGGCAAACUUGCUUCGGAGAAAAAGAAAUUAGUAGCUUAUAUGUUAUGGGAAGGUUAAUUUUUGAAGAUGUGAUAUAACUACUCAAUAUCCUUACGGUAAGUUAAUAGCAUUAGAGCAUUUAUGCAGUGGAAUCCAUUUUGAAGUUGA